CACCGAUUGCGAAGNCAGGAGACUAACAAAUGAUUGACGCUGAGAGACGAGAGCGUGGGGAGCGAACAGGAUUAGAUACCCUGGUAGUCCACGCUGUAAACGAUGGAUACUAGCUGUUUGGCGUAAGCUGAGUGGCUAAGCGAAAGUGAUAAGUAUCCCACCUGGGGAGUACGCACGCAAGUGUGAAACUCAAAGGAAUUGACGGGGGCCCGCACAAGCGGUGGAGCAUGUGGUUUAAUUCGAUGAUACGCGAGGAACCUUACCAAGGUUUAAAUGGGAACUGACGUACUUAGAGAUAGGUAUUUCUUCGGACAGUUUUCAAGGUGCUGCAUGGUUGUCGUCAGCUCGUGCCGUGAGGUGUCAGGUUAAGUCCUAUAACGAGCGCAACCCCUAUUGUUAGUUACCAGCACGUGAUGGUGGGGACUCUAGCAAGACUGCCGGUGUAAACCGUGAGGAAGGUGGGGAUGACGUCAAAUCAUCACGGCCCUUACAUCUUGGGCUACACACGUGCUACAAUGGUCGUUACAGAGAGCAGCCACUGCGCGAGCAGGAGCGAAUCUAUAAAGACGGUCACAGUUCGGAUCGGAG
rnacentral:rRNA from 1 species